rnacentral:rRNA from 1 species
CCCUUGACUGCCAGGAAUCCUGCAGAGAUGUGGGUAGUGCUCGAAAGAGAACCUGGACACAGGUGCUGCAUGGCCGUCGUCAGCUCGUGUCGUGAGAUGUUGGGUUAAGUCCCGCAACGAGCGCAACCCUUGUCAUUAGUUGCUACGAAAGGGCACUCUAAUGAGACUGCCGGUGACAAACCGGAGGAAGGUGGGGAUGACGUCAGGUCAUCAUGGCCCUUAUGGGUAGGGCUACACACGUCAUACAAUGGCCGGGACAGAGGGCUGCCAACCCGCGAGGGGGAGCUAAUCCCAGAAACCCGGUCGUAGUCCGGAUCGCAGUCUGCAACUCGACUGCGUGAAGUCGGAAUCGCUAGUAAUCGCGGAUCAGCUUGCCGCGGUGAAUACGUUCCCGGGUCUUGGUACACACC